ensembl:lncRNA
CGAAUCUUUAUCUGUGGAGCACAAGACUAGAUGAGAACACAACCUAUAAAUAUACAUAUCAAUGUCCUGCUCAACUGACAAUAUACAGGAGUGUUACUGUGUUUAACACUCAAUGCAAAAAAAAUUAUAAAGCUUAUCUGAUCACUGAGUAGAGCUCAUAAUAUUAGCUCUAAUGUUAGCUAUGUUAGCUAAAAACAAGCUAACAAAAACGAUAGGAAAUGAAUGGGAAUGCCUUUAGUGCCUAUACCUGUGAGCCAAAGUUUAGAGAUAUCUGGGACAGCCGUGUCGGCUGGGUGGAGAUGACCUGGUGGAGGCGGGGGGGUGGUGGUGACGGUGUAAUGAGAGUGAUGAAGCAUGGACAUGACGGAGGAGGAGAGGGAUGAGGUCAAGAGGUCCAUCUUGCCCUCCUCCUGCUCCUCCUCCUCCUGCUCCUCCUCUUCCUCUUCCUCCUCCUCCUCCUCAGCCUGGGGCCCCUCAAACAGCUCCAGGGAGCCCCCCCAGCUGCCCUCCUCCCCGGGCCCUCCUGUGGGGCCGGCCAGGCCAUCCAGGGCUGGGAUGAAUGGAUGAAUGAUGAAUGGAUGAAGCAUAAAGACAGUGUAGAUGUCUGGGUGAGUGUUGUUGAGAAUGCAGGCGGGUAGGGGUUAAUGACCAUGGUUACACGGGGAACUGGUUUGAGGUUUGAACUGAUUGAACGGCCACAGGUGGAAGUUAGAGGCACAAAGGCUGAAGUGAAGUCAGAAGGGAAUGAGGAACACGAAGGCUGUAAACACUAGUGUGUACUUUUUAAAACAGGAUGAGUCCAUUGUGUUUCAGAGUAAGUUGUGACAGUGGCGCUAAUGCAAGGGUGUUUGCAAAUUAUGAACACCACUCAGCUACACACUUUGAACUCUGAUCCCCCGACCUCACACGGUGAGAGCCACGGGCGACCGGAAGGCUCCAGACAGUCAGAGAGUUAGCAACAGAUUAGCUUCAGGCGGUCAGAGAGUUAGCUCCAUGCGGUCAGAUAGUUAGCGACAGAUUAGCUCCAGGCGGUCAGAGAGUUAGCUCCAUGCGGUCAGAUAGUUAGCAACAUAUUAGCUCUAGGCGGUCAGAGAGCUAGCAUCAGGUGGUCAGAGAGUUAGCAUCAGGCGGUCAGUUAGCUUCAGGCGGUCAGAUAGCUAGCGACAGAUUAGCUACAGGCGGUCAGAGAGUUAGCAUCAGGCAGUCAGAAAGUUAGCAUCAGGCGGUCAGAGAGUUAGCUUCAGGUGGUCAGAGAGUUAGCUUCAGGCGGUCAGAGAGUUAGCUUCAGGUGGUCAGAGAGUUAGCUUCAGGCAGUCAGAGAGUUAGCUUCAGGCAGUCAGAGAGUUAGCUUCAGGCGGUCAGAGAGUUAGCUUCAGGCGGUCAGAGAGUUAGCUUCAGGCAGUCAGAGAGUUAGCUUCAGGCGGUCAGAGAGUUAGCUUCAGGCAGUCAGAGAGUUAGCUUCAGGCGGUCAGAGAGUUAGCUUCAGGCAGUCAGAGAGUUAGCUUCAGGUGGCCAGAGAGUUAGCUUCAGGCAGUCAGAGAGUUAGCUUAAGGCAGUCAGAGAGUUAGCUUCAGGUGGUCAGAGAGUUAGCAACAGAAAGGGAAACCGUUCCUUACACAUGGAGCGGCGCAGCAGAGACUUGACUUUGUCUCGGUCCUUCAGUCGGUUCCUCAUACGGGAAAGAGUUUGAGGGCGGCCGCUUAUAACACCAAUGGAGGAGGGGGGGUGAGAGGGGGAGACACAGAGAGAGAUGAGAGGGGGGAGACAGAGAAAGCUCAGCCCAAUGCAGGAAGAGAAACGAGUAGGAAGGAAAGAGGACGGAGUACAGUGGGAAAGGAGGGGAUGAGAGCGACAGGGUGGGGGAAUGAGAGAGAGAACACACAUUAACAGACACACACACAGAAACACACACACAAACACAGUGCAGCACAGGGAGAACACAACUGGGGGUGUCGAGCAGUUGACACACGAUGAGUUUUCAGCAGAGCGUACCCCGCCAGGUUUGGGGACCGUAGUGAAGCCAAAGUUGAAGAAUCUCAAGCUUAGCGCUAAACUCAAAAUAUGAGUUUAGAUUCAAACCUGACUGCCCCUGAUGAGCUGGCCUUGCAUGGCUGACUCCGCCGUCGGUGUGUGAAUGUGUGAACGAAUGGUGUUAGGCAAUAUUGUAAAGAGCUUAACUCAAAGUUGACCAAACCAUCCGUGUUUACACACUGUUGGAUGGAGAAAGUCAAGCAAAGCUUUGUCCUGAUUGGACGAGGUCAGCGUCCAGCCGGGGUCAAAGUCGAAAGAGUUUGAACUUCAAGUGCGGUGUCAAG